CAGAUAACCAGUUAAUCCGUUGUAUUAACGUGGAUUAUGGAGAGAUAGAGAAUACGAGGGAGCGUAGUGUGUUGUGUGCACGACGUAGGUGUAUGCCUAUAGACCGAAUUAAAAACUAAAUGUCAAACGGAUGUUUUUUAUUGUUUUUACACUUUGUGUUGUAAACCUAUAAUUUAUUGACGAGAAGUAAUUUAAUUUUUUUUAUAGUCUGAGCAAACAGUUGUACAACGUUAUUAGUCCGUAAAAAUAAUUGCAAUAAGAACAAAUGCGAGUCUUCCCAUUAUUUUCAUGUAAUUAUUAUUAUUAUUAUUGCUGCUACUUUACCAUCACCGUCGUCGUCUUCGUCGAUAUAAAACAAAAUUGUAGCGACACUGCUUAAUCAGCUGAUCGGUUUGCUUACACUUUUUGUGAGGCUACGCCUUUUCGUCAAGUUAUCAUUACAUACAUGAUGUAUUGCAUAUUGAUUUUCUAUCCGUAUUCCGUAUUGCGUAUUAAAUCCACAAUGCACCAGUGUGAGAGUGUGACAGUGUAGUGUACCACACAAUAUUUAAAAAAAAAUAACACGAUGUAUAGCCCUAUAUAGAUCUAUUAGAUCUGGAUUAUUCGGGAAAUAGGAUAAUAUGAGAAUUACAGUGUGGAUGUGCGUGUAUAAGAAAUUAAAAGUAGAAUUCUACUAGUACACACAUCUAUAAAAACAUUAAAUAUGUGCUCAACAAGAAAAUGUGUGGGUAUAAACAAAAAACACUUUUAAUAAAAUACAUGCUGUAAGCAGGUUGGCCCGUCUUCUGUAUUGAGGUUUUUGUGGCUUUUGAGUCUCUCUCUUAAGUCCUGAUGUAUAAAAUCUGUCGGUUGGCCUGUAACCCAGUCAGUCCGCUCCUGUACACAAAUUUGACUUACAGACAUAAGUGUAUUGAGAUGAAUAGUCAGUCAUUCUCCAAAUCCGGACAUUGCUAAACUCUAUGUAUGAUACGUAAGCCCCGUACAGACCAAAGAAAAAUUUGGUGGAAACACAUGUUUCUGACAUUGUUGUCGACAAUGUUUCCGGGUUUCCGUCAUAAGCGGUAACAUCAAUAUUUGUCGACAAAAAUGUCAGAAACAUAUGUUGUCGACAAAUAUUUAUGUAUGCAGACUAAGGUUUAAAGACACAAUGGAUAGAGUGUAUUGGUGCUGCUAAGUUUACUGUGUACAAUAGGAGAACAAAUAAUAGUCUAUAAUGAUUAUAAAACUAUGAUGAUCAAAUAUUAUGGUUGAAAAUAAUCCCAGAAUUUGACACUUCACAAGUGAGACAUGCAUUGAGAAGGGAGACCAGCCAUUAAUAAAACCCAACAUUAUGAUUUAGAAAUCAAAAAAUAUUAUUUUCGGUCUUCACGACUAUCCUUAUGUUGAUAAUCGAAUGACGGCACCAAUGACCAAUAGAGUUUUGAAUUUGGUUAUGACACCAGUGACGGCACUUAUACAUACGAUUGUGGAUGAUGCACAACCAGACAGAUCGGUAUGUCUAACAAUAGGAGUGAUCAUAGACCAGUUAAUUCAAUCGCGAUUGUCGGCCUGAAACAAAUAUGAUGACUAAAGGAAUAAACAUUGUAAUAUUCACAGGUCUGUUUCUUCAUAGUGGAUUUUGAAUUCACUAUGACCAAUAAAAGUGACAUAUUAUUAGUGUCCGGUGCCAUAUCAAACAGCUUAGACAAAUAUAAGCCAAUAAAACUUGAGGGGAUUCCUCUUAUACUUACUAAGGAUGAUAAGUUGAGAAGAUUCUGGCGCUGUGACUUAAACACCGUUGUGCAAACAAUUAAAAGAAUAUUUCGAUAUAAGACAGAACUGAUGGCAUCUUUGUUGGAACAGUUAUACAGAGGUGUUAACGCACGGGGAGCUUUUAACUUGUCUACGACUUAUCUUCAAAAAUAUUUGCACAUACCUGAAAGGGAACUAGUAAUAGUAUUUUGGAAUGGAUCAACGGAUAUGACUAUAAUUAAGCGUUUAAGGUUAAGGGGUACACUUAAAUAUUUAAACUUAACGGCAUAUAGUAAUAAGAAUAAUAACGAAUUUAUUAUAAAACUAAUAAACUUAGAAAAUAAGGAACAAUUAUAUUCAGGGUACAUAGGAACAAUAAAUAGAAAUGGCAGGAUGUUAAAUUUACUUGAGACAUAUGGACUAGUGUGUAAUAUAGAUCAUAAUAUAACACAUUGUCAUGAUCCAGUAGCUGAUAUAAUUUUAACAAAAUGUAUUUUUAACUAUGUUGUUAAUGAAAUUAGGCCUAUUAAAUUAUAUAGAUUGUGUAGAAGGGAAAAGAGACAAAGGAAAAAAAAAAAGUAUAAUAAUAUAUUUAAUAAGAAU